GUGUUUGCUUUGGCAACACAUACACUAAAAUUGGAACCAGAUAGAGAAGAUUAGCAUGGCCCCUGCAUGAGUAUGACAUGCAAAUUCGUGAAGCAUUCCAUAUUUUU